GGCGUAGAAUUCCACGUGUAGCCAGUGAAAUGCGUAGAGAUGUGGAGGAAUACCGAAUGGCGAAAGGCAGCCCCCUGGGAUAACACUGACGCUCAUGCACGAAAAGCGUGGGGAGCAAACAGGAUUAGAUACCCUGGUAGUCCACGCCCUAAACGAUGUCUACUAGUUGUCGGGUCUUAAUUGACUUGGUAACGCAGCUAACGCGUGAAGUAGACCGCCUGGGGAGUACGGUCGCAAGAUUAAAACUCAAAGGAAUUGACGGGGACCCGCACAAGCGGUGGAUGAUGUGGAUUAAUUCGAUGCAACGCGAAAAACCUUACCUACCCUUGACAUGGCUGGAAUCCUUCAGAGAUGAGGGAGUGCUCGAAAGAGAACCAGUACACAGGUGCUGCAUGGCUGUCGUCAGCUCGUG
rnacentral:rRNA from 1 species